UGAUCCUGGCUCAGGAUGAACGCUAGCGGCAGGCUUAACACAUGCAAGUCGAGGGGUAUUAGUUUUCGGACUAAGAGACCGGCGCACGGGUGCGUAACGCGUAUGCAAUCUACCUUUUACAGAGGGAUAGCCCAGAGAAAUUUGGAUUAAUACCUCAUAGUAUAAUGACUCGGCAUCGAGAUAUUAUUAAAGUCACAACGGUAAAAGAUGAGCAUGCGUCCCAUUAGCUAGUUGGUAAGGUAACGGCUUACCAAGGCUACGAUGGGUAGGGGUCCUGAGAGGGAGAUCCCCCACACUGGUACUGAGACACGGACCAGACUCCUACGGGAGGCAGCAGUGAGGAAUAUUGGACAAUGGGCGCAAGCCUGAUCCAGCCAUGCCGCGUGCAGGAUGACGGUCCUAUGGAUUGUAAACUGCUUUUAUACGAGAAGAAACACUGCUUCGUGAAGCAGCUUGACGGUAUCGUAAGAAUAAGGAUC
rnacentral:rRNA from 1 species